rnacentral:rRNA from 1 species
AGAGUUUGAUCCUGGCUCAGAUCGAACGCUGGCGGCGUGGCUAAAGCAUGCAAGUCGAACGCGAAAGCUCCCUUCGGGGAGCCGGUAGAGUGGCGGACGGGUGAGGAAUACAUGGGUAACGUACCUUGAGCAUGGGGAUAGCUGUGGGAAACUACAGGUAAUACCCAAUGAUACCACAGUUUCAUAAGGCACAGUGGUCAAAGGCGGGGAUCCGCUUCGGCGGACCUGUUGGCUUGAGAGCGGCCCAUGUCCUAUCAGCUUGUUGGUGAGGUAACGGCCCACCAAGGCAACGACGGGUACCGGGACUGAGAGGUUGAUCCGGCACAUUGGGACUGAGACACUGCCCAGACUCCUACGGGAGGCUGCAGCAACGAAUAUUGUCCAAUGGGCGCAAGCCUGAGACAGCGACGCCGCGUGCGGGAAUAAGCCCUUCGGGGUGUAAACCGCUGUCAGGGACCACCAAGCGAUGGGGGCUAAUAUCCCCCGGAGUUGAGGAAUCCCAAAGGAAGCCACGGCUAACUUCGUGCCAGCAGCCGCGGUAAGACGAAGGUGGCAAGCGUUGUUCGGAAUCACUGGGCUUAAAGAGCACGUAGGCGGCUCACCAAGCGUCGUGUGAAAUCCCUCGGCUUAACCGAGGAACUGCUCGGCGAACUGGUGGGCUUGAGGCAGGUAGGGGCGCGCGGAACUCUUGGUGGAGCGGUGGAAUGCGUAGAUAUCAAGAGGAACGCCGGUGGCGAAGGCGACGCGCUGGGCCUGUCCUGACGCUGAGGUGCGAAAGCCAGGGGAGCGAACGGGAUUAGAUACCCCGGUAGUCCUGGCCCUAAACGAUGUCCACUAGGUCGAAAGGUUCUCUGACGGAGUUUCGGCCGAAACAAAAGCGUUAAGUGGACCGCCUGGGGAGUACGGUCGCAAGGCUA